rnacentral:rRNA from 1 species
GAUGAACGCUAGCUACAGGCUUAACACAUGCAAGUCGCAGGGUAACAUGAGGAAAGCUUGCUUUCCUUGAUGACGACUGGCGCACGGGUGAGUAACGCGUAUCCAACCUUCCCAUAACUACGGGAUAACCCGUUGAAAGACGGCCUAAUACCGUAUGAUAUCGUUUGCUGACAUCAAAUAACGAUUAAAGGUUUAGCGGUUAUGGAUGGGGAUGCGUCUGAUUAGCUUGUUGGCGGGGUAACGGCCCACCAAGGCGACGAUCAGUAGGGGUUCUGAGAGGAAGGUCCCCCACAUUGGAACUGAGACACGGUCCAAACUCCUACGGGAGGCAGCAGUGAGGAAUAUUGGUCAAUGGGCGAGAGCCUGAACCAGCCAAGUAGCGUGCAGGACGACGGCCCUAUGGGUUGUAAACUGCUUUUAUGUGGGGAUAAAGUGCGUGACGUGUCAUGCAUUGCAGGUACCACAUGAAUAAGGACCGGCUAAGUCCGUG